UAGGGAAUCUUCCGCAAUGGACGAAAGUCUGACGGAGCAACGCCGCGUGAGUGAAGAAGGAUUUCGGUUCGUAAAACUCUGUUGUUAGGGAAGAAAAAAUGUAUAGUAACUAUAUACAAAAGAGACGGUACCUAACCAGAAAGCCACGGCUAACUACGUGCCAGCAGCCGCGGUAAUACGUAGGUGGCAAGCGUUGUCCGGAAUUAUUUGGCGUAAAGCGCGCGCAGGUGGUUUAGAAAGUCUGAUGUGAAAGCCCACGGCUCAACCGUGGAGGGUCAUUGGAAACUAAUAAACUGGAGUGCAGGAGAGAAAAGUGGAAUUCCUAGUGUAGCGGUGAAAUGCGUAGAGAUAAGGAGAAACACCGGUAGCGAAGGCGGCUUUUUGGCCUGCAACUGACACUGAGGCGCGAAAGCGUGGGGAGCAAACAGG
rnacentral:rRNA from 1 species